CCUCUUGUUGGGACUUUGUCUCAAGAGGUCCGUUCCUUACACAAUCGUCUGAUCCCUUUUUAAUUGUUAGCGACUACCCACGCGAAACAAGUUCGCUGUUGAUCUUUUAACAAAUUUAAUUAUUUUUUCCCUUAUUUUAGUAUAUAUAAUGAAGUAUUUACUGCUCUCAAAAAAUAGAGGAUCCCAACUUAACUAUCCAUUUUAGAAAUCCCCUUUCUUCAUUUAUUCAGUUUCUCUUGUUUAUUAACCAAUUGGACUUGAAGAAUACUGUUUGGGAAAAAACAGAAAAGGCAAAAUGCAAGCCUUGACUUUUGGUUACCCUUUGAAUACAAUGUUAAAGGUUAAGAAUUUGAGCCUUUUGGUCGACCAUUGAAGAUAAAGGUGAAUUUGUGGGUUGAGAUUUGUAAGAUUACUGGGCUAGAAAUACUUUUGGGAGACUGAUGUGUGAUAUAAAGAAUAAAAAGGAAUAUUCAAUGAUGCCAGAGUUUGAGAACAGACCAAUCAGGAAGAGCAGGCAGUUGGGUAGGUUGGAAGGUGAUAGGGAUGAUCGAAGUUGGACUCCUCUUCACGUUUGUGCUUGGAAAGGUGACUUCAAACAGGUUUGGGUAAUUCCGUGGUUUGCUGAAAAGUUUAUUUUCUCUUCUCUCAUAAGAUAAUAACACAAACUUUACAUGCAAGAAGGCUGCUCCAAAUGCAGUGUUCAGUACCACAGUUACUUCUUUGAAAUCUGAAGAUGCAUUUGAUCCAAAUCGUGUUAAAUACGUGGUGGGCAAUUGUGGAUAUGCAAUUUAUUUUCCAUGAGGACUGAUACGAUUCAACAAGUUAGGGCUUCUCUACUUUGCAAUCAGUUUGUGAAAGGUCAAUCUUCAAUUUCUCUACUUGCUUCAUCUGGGAAUUCAGGUAUCUAUUAAAGAAUUGUCGUGCAUUCAUCAUUAAUACGUUCUCCACCAUAAUCCUGUACUGAAAUAUCAACGUUCAGUUUGUAAAGCCUUGCUUUUUUCUCCUCUACAUUGCAUCUCUUAUUGUAUAGAUGGAUUUUGCCUUUUAUUUUCUCAUGAUUGUGCUAGAGUUUCUCAAUUUCUAGUUUAUGGUUUUGAAAUUAGAAGGCCUUGUUUAUGUAGCAAUAGUAAAGUUCAUAUCUUUGGUAAAUUUUCACCUUCAAUUAAGAAACUUAUUGAACUUAAGAAUUAUUUAAAUUUUCUUUUUUUUUUCUUUUUUUUCCAUUUGUAAGGUUUCGCUCAUUCCAUGCACUCAGGCCAACACUAUGUCUCCUUUGUAAAAGGCAAAUGUUUUUUAUUUUAUUCAAUUUACUAAUUCUGCGACGCCUUUCUAUUUUUUUUAGGAAGAUUGGUUAAAUUUUUUUGAAUAAAGUAUUAUGCCGUUAAAUGUCAUAUUGUCGUUCACGGAAGAAAAAUUACGGCUGCCUAGCACUUGUUCCUGACCUCUUGCAGCUAAAUCAAUCUUUUCAUACAUAGAUGGGAAAUUUAUGAGCGUAAGCCAUUUUGGGAUUCAGACUGAUACUCUAUUUGGUCAUAAGGAUUUGAAAGAAUCAAUCUUUCUUUAAGUUGCUGAAUAUCUCCAUUAUUGAUCAAUAGGCGAAUUUCCAACUCCUCGGAAUCCAUAUGAGAUCUUGUUUGAUGUUCAUUCUUUAUUUGAGUUUUCCUUUCUUUUCUAUUUAUAAUCAAGUGAAUACCUUUUCUUAAUUUUAUUGCUUCACUAGCACGCGUUAGCAUACGUCGAAAGAGACAAGUAUUAUGGUGCAAAAGCAGCUAUUAACGUAUGGGAACCUAAAAUACAGCAGCCUAAAGAGUUCAGUUUGUCCCAAAUUGAAGCUGGCUGGUAGGAAUUUUUUUUCUAAAUCUUUGGUUCGACCAUAAUUUGUUGCAUUCCUCUUACUGAUUAGAAUGCACAUUACUUCAGGUUAGCACUGAUCUCUACGGUGAUAAGAACACAGAAUUGUACACAUACUGGACUAUAAGCUUAUUCUUUUGUUGUUUGUUUUCUUUAUAUGCUAAUAAAGCUCCAGGCAAAAUCCUAAUAUCAGUUUGUAAUUAUAGAGUGAUGCAUAUCGAGCCAUCGGUUGCUAUAAUAUACUCUAUUUGGGUUUAUACAAGUCAGCAGUCAAAUAGCAAUGGGUACAAGAAUUUCUCCCGUCUCAUCCUAUCGAAAUUCCCAAUACGAUAUUGCAUUCUUUUGUGGAAGUUUGCAAUGGCUAUGUAUUGGGUUAUUGGCCAUCUUUCUUAUUCUCCUACUUAGUAGACAGUGCUUCCAUGAUAGAUGCGGUGGUGAGGUCAUAAAUUCACAACUCGAUAGGCAGUCCACUUUGACUCAAAUGGGCAGCGGCCGAUUGCCAGAAGAGGGUUUUGGCAAGUCAGGCUAUUUCAAGAAUAUCCAAGUUGUUGACAGUUCCAAAAAUCUUGAGGCUUCUAAAGAACCAUACACUGAACAAUCCAAUUGCUAUGAUAUGCAAACAUGUAGUAAUGGAGAUUGGGGCCAUUACUUUUAUUAUGGAGGCCAUGGUGCACAUAGGGCAUGGAACUUUUGGUGGUGCCAUUUUGGUAAAUAAUAAUUUGGAGGGAGAAAAGUAUAUUCUUAAGAAUAUCUCAUUAGCCCGACAACUGAACGUUGCAGGAGAUCGGCUCAUCAAGAGGUACAUUGAUAUUAUUCAUAAUUUCAUUGAUGUUGUUUUGCUUUUAAUGAUUAUUGAAUUUAUUAAUAUUUUAUUUUGAUGAUUAUUGAGUAAUUUGCCAUCGAAAUUUGUUGGGGUAAUUUGCUUUUGCUUUUUAUUCAGUUGCAUGUGUUUAAAAUUAUAUAUGGGUCUUUUUAGUGAUUUAAGACAUUAUUUUUUCUUGACAGCUCUACAUAAUUUUUUAUGGUUUUUGUUCUGGUUCUUUGGGAAUUCAAAUUAGAAAGAGUUUUUUUUAUUUUUCCUCCCCUUUUUUAACAUCGGACACAAAAUUCUCUCUUUUUUUGGUGGUGGGCUUGGGUGCAUAAGAUGAAAUAGAUUGUGGGGAUUUAUAUGUUUUGUAUGGGGAGGGAUAGUUUAACAUUACCUUUUACGCUUAUAUAUGAUUACUUGGAAUGAGAAAGAACUAAUAAAUAUGCCAAUUUGAUAUCAUAGAAAAGUUCCAAGAGGACGAUAUAGCAAGUUUAUGAUUGGAAGAGGUUGUGAUUCGAUGGUCCAAUUCUAUGUGUCAAAUCAUAAACUUGCUAAAUCGUUACAAUAAAGGAGCAAUAUAGCAUACUUAUAUCAGUUAACCAAGUAGCUUAUUCCUUUUCUUUUUGAUGAAGUAAAUAGUUUCAAAAAUAGCUUAGUGAUCUUACAGAAUUCUCCCAUGGUUUCUGGAUUUCAAUAAGAGGGUAGUUUCUUUAUGCAGCUCGGGUUGAGAAGAUUAAUCAAAGUAGUGAUGGCGAUAAGGUUGUGUUUGCUACAGCGAAUUAAACCGUAUAAGGAAUUAAAUAUACAAUUAGAGUACAUAUACUAUGUAAAUAUUUUUAUAAUGGAUUAUAUUCUUUAGUUUUUUAUUGAAAAGAAUGUUAUUUGCACCAUCUUUCUUAAACUAAUUGGAUGAUAUAAUAUGGAGAGAGGAGGUAAAUUUAAGCAGGACAAGAAAGAUGGUGCAAGUUGCAUUCUCUUGAAUGAACAACUUAUAAAUAAUAUUUACCUUAAUACAAUUGACUUAUGAGUGUCUUCUCUAAUUUUAUGCAUAAUUUCUUCUAUGGUUCAAUCCUAUAUGCCAAAGGUAGCUGAAAGUGCUUAUUCCAAUAUGGGCAAUACUGUUACAAUCAUUAGUUUGCUGCUCAAAGUCCUUUGUAUUAGUAAUCUUUACACAAGAUUCCAAUAGGAAGGUUGGUCAGUGAUGGCAAUUCUUUCUAGAACUAGUCGCUAUCACGUGCAUUACACGAAUUUUGUAUUUAUCGUAUUUUUAUUAGUGUAUGAAUUUUAG